rnacentral:rRNA from 1 species
CGUAAGGCGCCGAAUGAGUCAUUAAAAAAUUAACAUCAUCCGAUCCCUAGUCGGCAUAGUUUAUGGUUAAGACUACGACGGUAUCUGAUCGUCUUCGAUCCCCUAACUUUCGUUCUUGAUUAAUGAAAACAUCCUUGGCAAAUGCUUUCGCAGUAGUUAGUCUUCAAUAAAUCCAAAGAAUUUCACCUCUGACAAUUGAAUACUAAUGCCCCCAACUAUCCCUAUUAAUCAUUACGUCGAUCCUAAGAAACCAACAAAAUAGAAUCAAACGUCCUAUUUCGUUAUUCCAUGCUAAUGUAUUCAAG